UACGGAGGGUGCAAGCGUUAAUCGGAAUUACUGGGCGUAAAGCGUGCGCAGGCGGUUUGUUAAGUCCGCUGUGAAAUCCCCGAGCUCAACUUGGGAAUUGCAGUGGAUACUGGCAAGCUGGAGUAUGGUAGAGGAAGGUGGAAUUCCUGGUGUAGCGGUGAAAUGCGUAGAUAUCAGGAGGAACACCUGUGGCGAAAGCGGCGCACUGGACCACAACUGACGCUGAGGCGCGAAAGCUAGGGGAGCAAACAGG
rnacentral:rRNA from 1 species